rnacentral:piRNA from 1 species
UAUCUUACAAUCCAUCCGUCAUAUAUGC